CCGACACGGGGAGGUAGUGACGAAAAAUAACAAUACAGGACUCAAACGAGGCCCUGUAAUUGGAAUGAGUACAUUCUAAAACUCUUAACGAGUAUCCAUUGGAGGGCAAGUCUGGUGCCAGCAGCCGCGGUAAUUCCAGCUCCAACAGUGUAUGCUAAAGUUGUUGCGGUUGAAAAGCUCGUAGUUGGAUUUUGGGCGGGCGCGGUCGGUCCGCCGCAGGGCGUGUCACUGGCUGCGGCCGCCUCGAGCUUCGGUUCUCCGUCGGUGCUCUUGACUGAGUGUCGGCGGUGGCCGAGAGGUUUACUUUGAAAAAAUUAGAGUGUUCAAAGCAGGCUGAUUGCCUGAAUAGUGUUGCAUGGAAUAAUGGAAUAGGACCUCGGUUCUAUUUUGUUGGUUUUCGGAGCGCGAGGUAAUGAUUAACAGGGACAGACGGGGGCGUCCGUACUCUGCCGCUAGAGGUGAAAUUCUUGGAUCGGCGGAAGACGAACUACUGCGAAAGCAUUCGCCAAGAAUGUUUUCUUUAAUCAAGAGCGAAAGUCAGAGGUUCGAAGACGAUCAGAUACCGUCCUAGUUCUGACUAUAAACGAUGCCAACUAGCGAUCGGGAGGCGUUACCAUGACGACCUUCCCGGCAGCUUCCGGGAAACCAAAGUCUUUGGGUUCCGGGGGAAGUAUGGUUGCAAAGCUGAAACUUAAAGGAAUUGACGGAAGGGCACCACCAGGAGUGGAGCCUGCGGCUUAAUUUGACU
rnacentral:rRNA from 1 species